rnacentral:rRNA from 1 species
GUCGAGCGAAUGGAUUAAGAGCUUGCUCUUAUGAAGUUAGCGGCGGACGGGUGAGUAACACGUGGGUAACCUGCCCAUAAGACUGGGAUAACUCCGGGAAACCGGGGCUAAUACCGGAUAACAUUUUGAACCGCAUGGUUCGAAAUUGAAAGGCGGCUUCGGCUGUCACUUAUGGAUGGACCCGCGUCGCAUUAGCUAGUUGGUGAGGUAACGGCUCACCAAGGCAACGAUGCGUAGCCGACCUGAGAGGGUGAUCGGCCACACUGGGACUGAGACACGGCCCAGACUCCUACGGGAGGCAGCAGUAGGGAAUCUUCCGCAAUGGACGAAAGUCUGACGGAGCAACGCCGCGUGAGUGAUGAAGGCUUUCGGGUCGUAAAACUCUGUUGUUAGGGAAGAACAAGUGCUAGUUGAAUAAGCUGGCACCUUGACGGUACCUAACCAGAAAGCCACGGCUAACUACGUGCCAGCAGCCGCGGUAAUACGUAGGUGGCAAGCGUUAUCCGGAAUUAUUGGGCGUAAAGCGCGCGCAGGUGGUUUCUUAAGUCUGAUGUGAAAGCCCACGGCUCAACCGUGGAGGGUCAUUGGAAACUGGGAGACUUGAGUGCAGAAGAGGAAAGUGGAAUUCCAUGUGUAGCGGUGAAAUGCGUAGAGAUAUGGAGGAACACCAGUGGCGAAGGCGACUUUCUGGUCUGUAACUGACACUGAGGCGCGAAAGCG